GAUCAGUAUACCUGUAUCUUUAUGGAUGAUAUUGAUCAGAAUACACUGUAUCUUUAUUGAUUAUUGAUCAGUACACACUGUAUCUUUAUUGAUUAUUGAUCAGUACACACUGUAUCUUUAUGGAUGAUAUUGAUCAGUAUACACUGUAUCUUUAUUGAUUAUUGAUCAGUACACACUGUAUCUUUAUGGAUGUUAUUGAUCAGUAUUCACUGUAUCUUUAUGGAUGAUAUUGAUCAGUAUACACUGUAUCUGUAUGGAUGAUAUUGAUCAGUAUACACUGUAUCUUUAUGGAUGAUAUUGAUCAGUAUACACUGUAUCUUUAUGGACGAUAUUGAUCAGUAUACACUGUAUCUUUAUGGAUGAUAUUGAUCAGUAUACACUGUAUCUUUAUGGAUGAUAUUGAUCAGUGUACACUGUAUCUUUAUGGAUGAUAUUGAUCAGUAUACACUGUAUCUUUAUGGAUGAUAUUGAUCAGUAUACACUGUAUCUUUAUGGAUGAUAUUGAUCAGUAUACACUGUAUCUUUAUGGAUGAUAUUGAUCAGUAUACACUGUAUCUUUAUGGAUGAUAUUGAUCCUGUAUUGACAGUCAGACUGUGGACAUAUGACGGCCUUUAGCUCGUGUUUCUAGAGUUACGUGUUGUUACGAACACGUUAGGAAUUGUUAAAAUGUGAUAUUUCUUAAAGGGAGUUUGGUGCAGGGAGCUUUUAGUUGGAUUCAAACUGCUGAUAUGGAUCAUUGUUAACUGUAACUGCUAAAGUCUGAUAAGGUUGUCUGAUGGUAUUAGUUUAUUGAUUAAUGCUUUAAUAAUGGGAGUAUUGAUUACUGACGCUGGCUGAAGUCUUUCUCUCCGCUCUGGCUCUCAGCUCCAGGUUCGGAGGUGAAGUACAUCCAGGUGGCAGCGGAGAGGAUCCAGACCCUCCUCUCCCUCCCGAGAAAAAUCUUCAUCAUCACCGUCCGGAGCCACUUCCUGUGCGACGAGAACAGCGUCCCCAUCAACCAGGAUCUCACACUGCUGGACCUUCAGUUCCCCAGCUGAUGAACAUCCAGACCAGCUUCCUGUCAGAUUGUUGUAACAAAUGUUAUCCAAAGGCUGACGAGGAGCAGAGCGUAAUAGACAGGCCUACGAGAUAGUGGAGGAAUUACCACUGUCAAGUGAGGAGGAUGAUGCUAGUAGCAGUGAAGAAGAACGGCUGCCAGAACAGGAAAGAUUAGCAAAUGCUAGCAGUAGUGACAGUGGAGCUGAGGACACUGAGUCUGGAAAGGAUGCUGAGGGAGAUGAGGAUGCGUCACCUGACAGAGCUUGAAGGAAAAAGGCAACGAGUUUGAGGGAGACUUGCCUCCUUUUCUAGGAGAGUGGAAAGUGAAUGUUGAGGGAACAGAACCAAUAGAUUUCUUCGUGCAUCGAUUUCCCCAAGACCUGAUAGAUGUUAUAGUGCACAAUACAAACCUGUAUAAACUCCAAAAAGGAAGAGAAAAUCUGACCUUGACAUCACAUGAGUUGAAAACAUUUCUAGGAGUAAAUAUGGUGACCUGUCAUACAUCAGAUACCCAAGAUCAAGAAUGUACUGGUCAUCAGAGGCAGGACUUCAUCUUGACUUGAAAGCAGAUGCAAUGCCAGUGAACAGAUUGGGGCAGAUUCUGAGCUACAAUAACUUUGUUGAUAACUUGUCACAUGUCCCUGAAAAUGCAGAUAAGUUCUUCAAAGUUUGACCAGUGUUGGAUGAACCUUUCGUUCAGCAGUCGAUCCUAAAGCACUUCAAUCGAUAGAUGAACAGAUGAUUGUGCCACCUGUCUCUCAAGCAGUACAUCCCCAAAAAGCCCAAAACCCUGGGGUGUGAGCGUGUGGGUGAGAGCAGGAUCCUCUGGAUACAUGUACAGAUUGUAAGCCUAUCAGGGUUCAGCUGGGGGGCAAGGUCAGAUCAGUCAGGCAUUGCGACACCAAAGGGAUCUAUGGCACACGCAGAAACAACAGGCUUCAUGGAGCACAACUGAAAGUGAAGAGUGAAAAGCAACUACAGCGAGAAGGAAGAGGAUCUAUGUCA
rnacentral:lncRNA from 15 species